rnacentral:ncRNA from 1 species
UAUGGAAACUUACUAAGUGAUAACUUUCAAAUUCAGAGAAACCCUGGAAUUAAUAAAAAUGGGCAAUCCUGAGCCAAAUCACGUUUUCCGAAAACAAACAAAGGUUCAGAAAGCGAAAAUAAAAAAGGAUAGGUGCAGAGACUCGAUGGAAGCUGUUCUAACGAAUGGAGUUGGUUGUCUUACGUUAGUGGAGGAAUCAUUCUAUCGAAACUUCAGAAAAGAUGAAGGAUAAACCUGUAUACAUAAUACAGAAGAAUUGCUGUGAAUCGAUUCCAUAUUGAAGAAAGAAUCGAAUAUUCAUUGAUCAAACCUUCACCAUUCACUCCAUAAUCUGAUAGAUCUUUUGAAGAACUGAUUAAUCGGACGAGAAUAAAGAUAGAGUCCCGUUCUACAUGUCAAUACCGGCAACAAUGAAAUUUAUAGUAAGAGGAAAAUCCGUCGAUUUCAAAAAUCGUGAGGGUUCAAGUCCCUCUAUCCCCAAAAAGAGC